GUGUUAAUUAUGAAAGUGUAUCCGGUGUGUUCAGACGUUUUGUACGAGGUGGUGAAAUAUAAAAUGUAAAAUUGAAUCUGUGUGAAUCUAUUAAAUAUCAAUCCCAAACCUAUGUUUAAUAAUAACAAUUCCAAUAAUGAUAUGACUAUGUGAUUAAUUUCCCAAGGACGAUACUGAGAUAUACAUUCAUUACUAAUUUUUAAGGGUUAGGUAUGAUAGACGUGAAAUAUCUGUACGCAUUAGAAUCGACCCAGCCUCGACCAUAGGAUUCAUUAUGGCUUCAAAUCAAACAGAAACCAUGAAUACAAACAAUGCGUGUUGAGAUACGUAUAAUUUUCUGUGCUGGACUGGGUUAAAUGAAUAGCAGAGAUACUUGUAUGUGCAAAUUCUGUGUUCCUGUAACAUUAUUUCGGCUUCGAAGAUCCACAAUUCUCCACAAUGGGAUCGAAAUUUAAAGCAAAUAAUAAUUUACGGCUUAUGCUUAACUGGCAUUAAUCGUGUUAGACAAAACAUGAUCGCUGAAUGUGAAGCACAACGCUUUUAACUGUAUCAGGGCUUUUUUGUUAAAUUAACCAGAGAACCUGUGAAAUUGCGAUAAGGGAAAUAUAAUAAAGCUGCUCGAUAUCACUUGGUCGCCCCAAGGAUUAAAGGUUUACAGACGAGCGCGUGUCUGCUAGACGAUGCAAUUUAUCUGCAGUGUGUCGAGACGCUUGGCGAAGCGUAAUAUUGCCGAUGCCGAUGAGUUAUUAAAGGGCCAAACUUCAGAGAUUCGCGUAUGUGCUACAUAUGGUAGUACCGAAUAGUACAGAGGGUGGUCAGCUACGAAUUGGCUAUAACUCAAAGUAGCUCGUUAAAUUGCGAGGAUUAACCGGGCAGAGAGGUAAAUUGGAUCCAGAACAAAUCACGAUGUUAUAUCAUGCUGUGCGAACUAGGUGUGGUUAUAAGAGUAAAAAAAAAGGCUGGCUACGGAAACGAUCAACACAACAAGCAUAGAAAGAAGACUGAAAAGGAGACACCCAGCAGAUCUCACAAAGGAUAUAACCUAACAAACACGAAGAUGGUACCCCGCUGAGGGUAGCCCCCACAAGAUAAUCAAAUAGCUAAAAAAUUUCACCAAAUGUCCAAAUUGGACAAAUUAUGAAUGUAAAUUAUUAAGUAAAAAAAGAGUAAAAUAAAUUUAAUUUGCAAUUUUGCAUAUUAA